GAUGAACGCUGGCGGCGUGCUUAACACAUGCAAGUCGAACGAAGCACUUUAUUUGAUUUCCUUCGGACUGAUUUUUUUUUUACUUAGUUGCCGACGGGUGAGUUACCCCUGGGUUACCUUCCUUUUACAGGGGGGUUACAGUUUGGAACCGCCUCCUAUUACCCCUUAGCCCCCCGCAUCCCCUUAUGCCGUGUGAAAAACUUCGGUGGUAUAAGAUGGACCCGCGUUGGAUUAGCUAGUUGGUGAGGUAACGGCCCACCAAGGCGACGAUCCAUAGCCGACCUGAGAGGGUGACCGGCCACAUUGGGACUGAGACACGGCCCAAACUCCUACGGGAGGCAGCAGUGGGGAAUAUUGCACAAUGGGCGAAAGCCUGAUGCAGCGACGCCGCGUGAGCGAAGAAGUAUUUCGGUAUGUAAAGCUCUAUCAGCAGGGAAGAUAAUGACGGUACCUGACUAAGAAGCACCGGCUAAAUACGUG
rnacentral:rRNA from 1 species